GCGGACGUGGCGGAAUUGGUAGACGCGCAGCGUUGAGGUCGCUGUGGGAGAAAUCCUGUGGAGGUUCGAAUCCUCUCGUCCGCACCA
rnacentral:tRNA from 1 species